AUUGAACGCUGGCGGCAGGCCUAACACAUGCAAGUCGAACGAGUGGCGGACGGGUGAGUAAUGUCGGGGAAACUGCCUGAUGGAGGGGGAUAAAUACUGGCAACGGUAGCUAAUACCGCAUACCAUCAGAUGUGCCCAGAUGGGCUUAGCUUGUGGGUGGGGUAACGGCUCACCAAGGCGACGAUCCCUAGCUGGUCUGAGAGGAUGACGAGCCAACCUGGAACUGGGACACGUUCCGGACUCAUACGGCAGGAAGCAGUGGGGAAUAUUGCACAAUGGGGGCAAGCCUGAUGCAGCCAUGACGCGUGUAUGAAGAAGGCCUUCGGGUUGGAAAGUACUUGCAGCGGGGAGGCGUUACCCGCAGAAGAAGCACCGGCUAACUCCGUGCCAGCAGCCGCGGUAAUAC
rnacentral:rRNA from 1 species